rnacentral:rRNA from 1 species
UACGAAGGGGACUAGCGUUGUUCGGAAUCACUGGGCGUAAAGCGCACGUAGGCGGCUUUUUAAGUCAGGGGUGAAAUCCUGGAGCUCAACUCCAGAACUGCCUUUGAUACUGAGGAUCUUGAGUUCGGGAGAGGUGGAGUGGAACUGCGAGUGUAGAGGUGAAAUUCGUAGAUAUUCGCAAGAACACCAGUGGCGAAGGCGGCUCACUGGCCCGAGUACUGACGCUGAGGCAC